CCUCUUAGUGAGUGGCGUCUUUUGGUGUUUCAUAAUGGAAUGAACAGAGGAAAGUAAACAAGUCGAGAUAUCAUUUCAGUCGCCCUCAUUGAAUGGCGAUUUGAUUGUUGACUCAACAACAU